rnacentral:tRNA from 1 species
GUAGCUUUGGCCGAGUGGUUGACCGCGCGCUGCCAACAUCGGCGCUCGCGAGUUCGAACCGCUCAGACAACA